UCUGAAGAAGAGGAAUAAUAAUUGAACACACGUUUUGUUUUGUUUUUGUUCUUACUCGCCAACUUCUUGUCGGAUCUUUGCAGAAAAACAAAAAAAAAAAAAAAA
rnacentral:ribozyme from 1 species